UACGAAGGGGGCUAGCGUUGCUCGGAAUGACUGGGCGUAAAGGGCGCGUAGGCGGAGUGCUUUGUCGGGCGUGAAAUUCCAGGGCUCAACCUUGGGGCUGCGUUCGAGACGGGCAUUCUUGAGUUCGGAAGAGGGUCGUGGAAUUCCCAGUGUAGAGGUGAAAUUCGUAGAUAUUCGCAAGAACACCAGUGGCGAAGGCGGCUCACUGGCCCGAUACUGACGCUGAUGCACGAAAGCGUGGGGAGCAAACAGG
rnacentral:rRNA from 1 species